AACGAACGCUGGCGGCAUGCCUAACACAUGCAAGUCGAACGAGACCUUCGGGUCUAGUGGCGCACGGGUGCGUAACGCGUGGGAACCUGCCCUCAGGUUCGGAAUAACUCCCCGAAAGGGGUGCUAAUACCGGAUAAUGUCUUCGGACCAAAGAUUUAUCGCCUGUGGAUGGGCCCGCGUUGGAUUAGCUAGUUGGUAGGGUAAAAGCCUACCAAGGCGACGAUCCAUAGCUGGUCUGAGAGGAUGAUCAGCCACACUGGGACUGAGACACGGCCCAGACUCCUCCGGGAGGCAGCAGUGGGGAAUAUUGGACAAUGGGCGAAAGCCUGAUCCAGCAAUGCCGCGUGAGUGAUGAAGGCCUUAGGGUUGUAAAGCUCUUUUACCCGGGAUGAUAAUGACAGUACCGGGAGAAUAAGCUCCGGCUAACUCCGUG
rnacentral:rRNA from 1 species